AGCAAAUAGAUACCCAGGUAGUCCACGCCGUAAACGAUGGAUACUAGCUGUUCGGAGCAAAUCUGAGUGGCUAAAGCGAAAGUGAUAAGUAUCCCACCUGGGGAGUACGCACGCAAGUGUGAAACUCAAAGGAAUUGACGGGGGCCCGCACAAGCGGUGGAGCAUGUGGUUUAAUUCGAUGAUACGCGAGGAACCUUACCAGGGCUUAAAUGUAGAUUGACAGGACUGGAAACAGUUUUUCUUCGGACAAUUUACAAGGUGCUGCAUGGUUGUCGUCAGCUCGUGCCGUGAGGUGUCAGGUUAAGUCCUAUAACGAGCGCAACCCCUGUCGUUAGUUGCCAGCGAGUCAUGUCGGGAACUCUAACGAGACUGCCAGUGUAAACUGUGAGGAAGGUGGGGAUGACGUCAAAUCAUCACGGCCCUUACGUCCUGGGCCACACACGUGCUACAAUGGUAGGUACAGAGAGCAGCCACUGCGCGAGCAGGAGCGAAUCUACAAAA
rnacentral:rRNA from 1 species